AAAAAGGCUCUUUUAAGACCCAUCGAUAAAAGGAAUGAAAAUCCAU
rfam:Caloramator australicus RC3, WGS project CAKP01000000 data, contig: 214